AGGUAAGCUACUAAGAGCGAAUGGUGGAUGCCUUGACUGGUAAAGGCGAUGAAGGACGUACUAGACUGCGAUAAGCUACGGGGAGCUGUCAAGAAGCUUUGAUCCGUAGAUUUCCGAAUGGGGCAACCCAAUGUAUAGAGAUAUACAUUACCUAUAUAGGAGCGAACGAGGGGAAUUGAAACAUCUUAGUACCCUCAGGAAAAGAAAUCAAUAGAGAUUGCGUCAGUAGCGGCGAGCGAAAGCGCAAGAGGGCAAACCCAGUGCUUGCACUGGGGGUUGUAGGACUGCAAUGUGCAAGAGCUGAGUUUAGCAGAACAUUCUGGAAAGUAUAGCCAUAGAGGGUGAUAGUCCCGUAUGCGAAAAACAAAGCUUAGCUAGCAGUAUCCUGAGUAGGGCGGGACACGAGGAAUCCUGUCUGAAUCCGGGUCGACCACGAUCCAACCCUAAAUACUAAUACCAGAUCGAUAGUGCACAAGUACCGUGAGGGAAAGGUGAAAAGAACUGAGGUGAUCAGAGUGAAAUAGAACCUGAAACCAUUUGCUUACAAUCAUUCAGAGCACUAUGUAGCAAUACAGUGUGAUGGACUGCCUUUUGCAUAAUGAGCCUGCGAGUUGUGGUGUCUGGCAAGGUUAAGCAAACGCGAAGCCGUAGCGAAAGCGAGUCUGAAUAGGGCGCUUAGUCAGAUGCUGCAGACCCGAAACGAAGUGAUCUAUCCAUGAGCAAGUUGAAGCUAGUGUAAGAACUAGUGGAGGACUGAACCCAUAGGCGUUGAAAAGCCCCGGGAUGACUUGUGGAUAGGGGUGAAAGGCCAAUCAAACUUCGUGAUAGCUGGUUCUCUCCGAAAUAUAUUUAGGUAUAGCGUUGUGUCGUAAUAUAAGGGGGUAGAGCACUGAAUGGGCUAGGGCAUACACCAAUGUACCAAACCCUAUCAAACUCCGAAUACCUUAUAUGUAAUCACAGCAGUCAGGCGGCGAGUGAUAAAAUCCGUCGUCAAGAGGGAAACAACCCAGACUACCAGCUAAGGUCCCUAAAUCUUACUUAAGUGGAAAACGAUGUGAAGUUACUUAAACAACCAGGAGGUUGGCUUAGAAGCAGCCAUCCUUUAAAGAAAGCGUAAUAGCUCACUGGUCUAGUGAUUUUGCGCGGAAAAUAUAACGGGGCUAAAGUAAGUACCGAAGCUGUAGACUUGCACACAACUUAGAUUAUUUAAGUUUAGAAUAUGAGAAACUAAGUUAUAUGUUUAGUUAUAUUUUUACUGAUUUUUAUAGAGUAAAGAUAGAAAUAAAACUUAGUAAAAUCAGUAAAAAUAUUCUUAGGCUAAAGUUAAGUAGUUUAAGUUGUGUGCAAGUGGUAGGAGAGCGUUCUAUUUGCGUCGAAGGUAUACCGGUAAGGAGUGCUGGAGCGAAUAGAAGUGAGCAUGCAGGCAUGAGUAGCGAUAAUUAAUGUGAGAAUCAUUAACGCCGUAAACCCAAGGUUUCCUACGCGAUGCUCGUCAUCGUAGGGUUAGUCGGGUCCUAAGUCGAGUCCGAAAGGGGUAGACGAUGGCAAAUUGGUUAAUAUUCCAAUACCAACAUUAGUGUGCGAUGGAAGGACGCUUAGGGCUAAGGGGGCUAGCGGAUGGAAGUGCUAGUCUAAGGUUGUAGGAGGUUAUACAGGCAAAUCCGUAUAACAAUACUCCGAGAACUGAAAGGCUUUUUGAAGUCUUCGGAUGGAUAGAAGAACCCCUGAUGCCGUCGAGCCAAGAAAAGUUUCUAAGUUUAGCUAAUGUUGCCCGUACCGUAAACCGACACAGGUGGGUGGGAUGAGUAUUCUAAGGCGCGUGGAAGAACUCUCUUUAAGGAACUCUGCAAAAUAGCACCGUAUCUUCGGUAUAAGGUGUGGUUAGCUUCGUACUAGGAUUUACUCCGAAAGCGAAGAAACUUACAACAAAGAGUCCCUCCCGACUGUUUACCAAAAACACAGCACUCUGCUAACUCGUAAGAGGAUGUAUAGGGUGUGACGCCUGCCCGGUGCUCGAAGGUUAAUUGAUGGGGUUAGCAUUAGCGAAGCUCUUGAUCGAAGCCCGAGUAAACGGCGGCCGUAACUAUAACGGUCCUAAGGUAGCGAAAUUCCUUGUCGGUUAAAUACCGACCUGCAUGAAUGGCGUAACGAGAUGGGAGCUGUCUCAAAGAGGGAUCCAGUGAAAUUGUAGUGGAGGUGAAAAUUCCUCCUACCCGCGGCAAGACGGAAAGACCCCGUGGACCUUUACUACAGCUUGACACUGCUACUUGGAUAAGAAUGUGCAGGAUAGGUGGGAGGCUUUGAGUAUAUGACGCCAGUUGUAUAUGAGCCAUUGUUGAGAUACCACUCUUUCUUAUUUGGGUAGCUAACCAGCUUGAGUUAUCCUCAAGUGGGACAAUGUCUGGUGGGUAGUUUGACUGGGGCGGUCGCCUCCCAAAUAAUAACGGAGGCUUACAAAGGUUGGCUCAGAACGGUUGGAAAUCGUUCGUAGAGUAUAAAGGUAUAAGCCAGCUUAACUGCAAGACAUACAAGUCAAGCAGAGACGAAAGUCGGUCUUAGUGAUCCGGUGGUUCUGUGUGGAAGGGCCAUCGCUCAAAGGAUAAAAGGUACCCCGGGGAUAACAGGCUGAUCUCCCCCAAGAGCUCACAUCGACGGGGAGGUUUGGCACCUCGA
rnacentral:rRNA from 1 species